rnacentral:rRNA from 1 species
CAGCCGCCGCGGGAAUACGGAGGGUGCAAGCGUUAUCCGGAUUCACUGGGUUUAAAGGGUGCGUAGGCGGUUUGGCAAGUUUGGUGUGAAAUCUUCGGGCUCAACUCGAAGUCUGCAUCGAAAACUGCCGGGCUUGAGUAUGGGAGAGGUGAGUGGAAUUUCCGGUGUAGCGGUGAAAUGCGUAGAUAUAGGAAGGAACACCAGUGGCGAAGGCGACUACCUGGACUGAUACUGACACUGAGGUGCGAAAGCGUGGGGAGCAAACAGGAUUAGAUACCCCGGUAGUCCCUGUCUCUUAUAC